AACGGGUGAGUAACGCGUGAGGAACCUGCCUCAAAGAGGGGGACAACAGUUGGAAACGACUGCUAAUACCGCAUAAGCCCACGGUGCCGCAUGGCACAGAGGGGAAAGGAGCAAUCCGCUUUGAGAUGGCCUCGCGUCCGAUUAGCUAGUUGGUGAGGUAACGGCCCACCAAGGCAACGAUCGGUAGCCGGACUGAGAGGUUGAACGGCCACAUUGGGACUGAGACACGGCCCAGACUCCUACGGGAGGCAGCAUG
rnacentral:rRNA from 1 species